ACGGGAGGCAGCAGUGGGGAAUAUUGGACAAUGGGGGCAACUCUGAUCCAGCGACGCCGCGUGAGUGAAGAAGUAUUUCGGUAUGUAAAGCUCUUUAAGCAGGGAAGAAAAUGACGGUACCUGCAGAAUAAGCCCCGGCUAAUUACGUGCCAGCAGCCGCGGUAAUACGUAGGGGGCAAGCGUUAUCCGGAUUUACUGGGUGUAAAGGGAGCGUAGACGGCAAAUCAAGUCUGAAGUGAAAGCCCGCGGCUCAACUGCGGAACUGCUUUGGAAACUGAUUAGCUAGAGUGUCGGAGAGGUGAGUGGAAUUCCCAGUGUAGCGGUGAAAUGCGUAGAUAUUGGGAGGAACACCGGUGGCGAAGGCGGCUCACUGGACGAUAACUGACGUUGAGGCUCGAAAGCGUGGGGAGCAAACAGGAUUAGAUACCCUGGUA
rnacentral:rRNA from 1 species